rnacentral:ncRNA from 1 species
GAGAGCGACGUGCGGUGAAAGUCGCAUGCGUCGUUCGGGCUGGGGGCUGCAGGAAAAGGACCCGCGCUCCGCGCGGACACCUUGCCAGCGGCCCACCAGUGC